UAUGUGAUCGUCUCUCGCAUAUCAAUAAGCGGAGGAAAAGAAACUAACAAGGAUUCCCCUAGUAACGGCGAGUGAAGCGGGAAGAGCUCAAAUUUGAAAUCUUAAAGGGUUUCCCUUUACGAAUUGUAGUUUAAAGAAGUGUUUUCUGUUGAGGUUUUGGUAAAAGUUCUUUGGAAUAGGACAUCAUAGAGGGUGAGAAUCCCGUAUUUGACCUUUACUUUCAACUUUGUGAUACACUUUCAAAGAGUCGGAUUGUUUGGGAAUGCAGUCCAAAAUGGGUGGUAAAUUUCAUCUAAAGCUAAAUAUUGGCGAGAGACCGAUAGCGAACAAGUACCGUGAGGGAAAGAUGAAAAGAACUUUGAAAAGAGAGUUAAACAGUACGUGAAAUUGUCAAAAGGGAAGCGUUUGACACCAGUGUUGUUCUUCUGAAAAUCAAUUAAAGAACUGUUUAUGCUAAGUUGUUUAGACUUUAUCAGCUAACUGUUUAGUUUUGAGCUUUUCUUUAAUGCACUUUUCAGUUAACAAGUCAACAUCAAUUUCUUUUGCUGUAAAAAAGCUUGAGGAAGGUGGCUUGAGAUUCGUCUUAAGUGUUUAUAGCCUCUUGCCUAUGCAGUCGGAGAGAUUGAGGUCUGCAGCGUAGAUCCUUCGGGGCUAAAUGCAUUUGUGCUAAGUUAUAGCAUUUUAUAGACAACUUGUUGACUAUGAUUUGUCUUGUAGCUUACUCGCUUAUGUUAUUUUACCUACGCUUAGGAUGUUGAUCUACAGAGCGAGAGU
rnacentral:rRNA from 1 species